rnacentral:lncRNA from 1 species
GUACUGAAUGCUGGAGGCAACUGGAACACAAUGAGCACACAGCCCCUGAGAGGAAGGUCCUCACCCAUGGACGCAGCUUGCUGAUGGCAGUGAUAAGAUCAAUCAGGAUUUUGGGUUUGGCAAUUUCCCCCUAUACAACGAUAGUUUCCACCUUUCAUGCUGAGGUGCUUCUUGACUGGGAAGGAGUGGAAGAGGUCCUAGGUGCAGAAGGGUAUGGAAGAUAAGGUCAAAGGAUGUGCUGGUGGGAAUGGGAGACAACUGAGAAGGUGAGACAAGCUGGAGGAAAUGUCAGGAGCUGCUGAGAGAAGCUCAGCCUGACCAGAGAUGAGAAUUGCCAUCUUGAAUCGUCAGGAAGUGAAGGAAAGCCCAGGUGAAUGCCACCCAAUCAAAAAGAAAAAACAAAUGCAGAUGGUAAGGUAGAGAAGGCUCUGAAGCCCAGGUAAUGAGAGCCAUGUUACCCUGGACAGAAGCAUCCAACACCACACAUCUCCAAGGAUGUUGGAGAUCCAGCAUCUGGAUCCAGCUAACUUCUGCAUCCUCUUCUGUACUCACAAGAGUUAACAUGGACGUCCA